GGUGCCCUCGGCCAUGGCCGAAGGUGAAACAGGGAAGCCGGUGCAACCGAGCCAAUUCGGUCAUUCCGGCGCUGCCCCCGCAACGGUAGGCGAGUCACGCGGACGCAACAGCCACUGUGCCAACGGCAUGGGAAGGCGCAGCCGCAGAGGUCCGGUGACCUUCACUCGCGAGCCCGGAGACCGGCCCGUAGC
rnacentral:ncRNA from 1 species